GCGAAGCAGUGGACGGACCAAUGAUUGAGGAAUAUGCAUUUUCCUUCAGCUAUUCCGACUCUGACAACCAAGAGGUUUCAAUGGACAUCAACCGAACUGGAAACAAAAAAAACCGGGGGGCCUUCAAGUGUAAUUCGACUACAGAAAUUACUCCCCAACAGAUGAGGAGUUCUGCGUGUAAAAUGAUCCGUACUCUGGUUCAGUUGAUGAGAACUCUGGAGAAAAUGCCAGAUGAGCGUACCAUCCUGAUGAAGCUCCUCUACUACGAUGAUGUGACGCCUGCUGAUUAUGAGCCUCCUUUCUUCCGGGACUGCACAGGUGAAGAAGCUUAUCAUCCAUGGGAGAAAAAUCCGUUGAAAAUGGAGGUUGGGAAUGUAAACAGCAAGCACUUCGUAUUAGCUCUUAAGGUGAAGAGUGUACUCGACCCUUGUGAAGAUGAUAACGAAGGAAUCCCGGACGAUGUGAGCAAUGGCGAUGAUUCAAUGCAACAGAAUGAGUAUUAUGAUACUGACAGUGAGGUUGAUCUUACUCAAGG
rnacentral:sRNA from 1 species